rnacentral:rRNA from 1 species
UACGAAGGGGGCUAGCGUUGCUCGGAAUCACUGGGCGUAAAGCGCACGUAGGCGGAUUUCUAAGUCAGGGGUGAAAUCCUGGAGCUCAACUCCAGAACUGCCUUUGAUACUGGGAAUCUCGAGUCCGGGAGAGGUGAGUGGAACUGCGAGUGUAGAGGUGAAAUUCGUAGAUAUUCGGAAGAACACCAGUGGCGAAGGCGACUUACUGGACACAUAUUGACGCUGAGGUGCGAAAGCGUGGGGAGCAAACAGG